rnacentral:rRNA from 1 species
AUUGAACGCUGGUGGCAUGCUUUACACAUGCAAGUCGAACGGCAGCGCGGGCUUCGGCCUGGCGGCGAGUGGCGAACGGGUGAGUAAUACAUCGGAACGUGCCCAGUAGUGGGGGAUAGCUCGGCGAAAGCCGGAUUAACACCGCAUACGACCUGAGGGUGAAAGCGGGGGAUCUUCGGACCUCGCGCUAUUGGAGCGGCCGACGGCAGAUUAGCUAGUUGGUGGGGUAAAGGCCUACCAAGGCGACGAUCUGUAGCUGGUCUGAGAGGACGACCAGCCACACUGGGACUGAGACACGGCCCAGACUCCUACGGGAGGCAGCAGUGGGGAAUUUUGGACAAUGGGCGAAAGCCUGAUCCAGCAAUGCCGCGUGUGUGAUGAAGGCCUUCGGGUUGUAAAGCACUUUUGGCGGGAACGAAAAGGACUGUGCCAAUACCACGGUUCGAUGACGGUACCCGCAGAAUAAGCACCGGCUAACUACGUG